GAAAUGCAGCUGAGGUAGACACAAAACUUCCAAACAAGAGUGCACUCAAGUCUCCAGUUCAAUUGAAAUGUUCCCUUAAUUUUUUUUAUCUAUUUUUUUGGCAGGACCUGAAUCCAUGACAGAGCAUUCAAGAAGUGAUCGGUUGACCAUAUCUCCAAGCACGGCCUUCUUUUUCCAUCUCAACCUAUAGAACAUAAAUGAUCUGAACUCCACAUUGAAACGAGUCCACUCAUUGGUUGCCUUGCCAACAGUCAGCAUUAAAGCAAUUGCAGCCAAGAAAUGUUACCAAGGGACAUGAACGUCCUAGGCCAAUGCUACACAAAUUAAAU
rnacentral:lncRNA from 1 species